GAUGAACGCUGGCGGCGUGCCUAACACAUGCAAGUCGAGCGAUUCUCUUCGGAGAAGAGCGGCGGACGGGUGAGUAACGCGUGGGUAACCUGCCCUGUACACACGGAUAACAUACCGAAAGGUAUGCUAAUACGAGAUAAUAUGCUUUUAUCGCAUGGUAGAAGUAUCAAAGCUUUUGCGGUACAGGAUGGACCCGCGUCUGAUUAGCUAGUUGGUAAGGUAACGGCUUACCAAGGCGACGAUCAGUAGCCGACCUGAGAGGGUGAUCGGCCACAUUGGAACUGAGACACGGUCCAAACUCCUACGGGAGGCAGCAGUGGGGAAUAUUGCACAAUGGGCGAAAGCCUGAUGCAGCAACGCCGCGUGAGCGAUGAAGGCCUUCGGGUCGUAAAGCUCUGUCCUCAAGGAAGAUAAUGACGGUAUCCGGAGAAGAAGCCCCGGCUAACUUCGUGCCAGCCGCCGCCGUAA
rnacentral:rRNA from 1 species